GUGUCAGCAGCCGCGGUAAUACGGAGGGUGCAAGCGUUGUCCGGAUUUAUUGGGUUUAAAGGGUGCGCAGGCGGGAAGGUUAGUCCGUGGUGAAAGACGAUCGCUCAACGAUUGCAGUGCCAUGGAUACUGCCUUUCUUGAAUCUGGUUGAGGCCGGUGGAAUUGACCGUGUAGCGGUGAAAUGCAUAGAUAUGGUCAAGAACUCCAAUUGCGAAGGCAGCCGGCUGGGCCAGCAUUGACGCUCAGGCACGAGAGUGCGGGGAUCAAACAGGAUUAGAUACCCUGGUAGUCC
rnacentral:rRNA from 1 species